rnacentral:rRNA from 1 species
AUUGAACGCUGGCGGCAGGCCUAACACAUGCAAGUCGAGCGAGCGGCGGACGGGUGAGUAAUGUAUGGGGACUGCCCGAUAGAGGGGGAUAAGUACUGGAAACGGUGGCUAAUACCGCAUACUAUCGGAUAACCCAUAUGGGAUUAGCUAGUAGGUGGGGUAAAGGCGCAACUAGGCGAAGAGCUCUAGCUGGUCUGAGAGGAUGAUCGGCCACACUGGGACUGAGACACGGCCCAGAAUCCGACGGAGGCAGCAGUGGGGAAUAUUGGGCAACGGACGAAAGGCUGAUAGAGCAAGGCCGCGUGAAUGAAGAAGGCUUUCGGAUCGUAAAACUCUGUUAUCAGAGAAGCGGUACCUAAAGAUGAAGCAACGGCUAACUACGUGCCAGAAGCCGCGGUAAUAC